rnacentral:lncRNA from 1 species
UUCCCCCUCCCUCCCAAAAACCUCAAAAGAGAACAAAAAUCCAACCUGCAUUUUCAAAUUUUCACAUUUUUUUUUCUCUUUUCCUUUAUAGCAUCACCAUAAUAAGUCCAACCAAAGUAGAAGAUUCCUUUGUCCCAUGAAUUCCCAAGAAUCCCAACCCGGCCACCAUCAACCCCACCCCCAUCUUCACUCCCUACCCCACCAACUCCACCACCCGCACCACCAACAACCCCACGGAAUAAUGGCGGCGCUGCCUCAACAACACCACCACCACCAACAACACAAUUCGUAUGGUUUGCCUGAGAACGUUAAUAAUAUGCAACAGCAACUACAGCAACAACAAACACAACAAACACAACAAAACCUCGAUUUGCUAUAGAUUACAGUGAUGACGGGCCGUCGUCUCCUAGGGGUUCUUCCCCGGCAAGGAAGAAACGAGGGCGGCCAAGAAAGUACUCUCCUAGUCCUGAUGGUAACAACAUAGCUUUGGGCCUCUCUCCCACUCCACUACUUACUCCCAUUCCUGAUUCUGGUGCUGCUGGUGGGCCCGCCACUCCCUCUUCCGAAAACUCCUCUAAAAAGCUCAGAGGCAGACCUCCUACCCCUUUAAAGAAACAGCUCGACGCACUAGGUAC